UGGGGAAUAUUGCGCAAUGGGCGAAAGCCUGACGCAGCAACGCCGCGUGCGGGAUGACGGCCUUCGGGUUGUAAACCGCUUUCAGCAGGGACGAAGGGUUACCUUGACGGUACCUGCAGAAGAAGCACCGGCUAACUACGUGCCAGCAGCCGCGGUUAUACGUAGGGUGCGAGCGUUGUCCGGAAUUAUUGGGCGUAAAGAGCUUGUAGGCGGUCUGUUGCGUCGGAAGUGAAAACUCAGGGCUUAACCCUGAGCCUGCUUUCGAUACGGGCAGACUUGAGGGAUGUAGGGGAGAACGGAAUUCCUGGUGGAGCGGUGGAAUGCGCAGAUAUCAGGAGGAACACCAGUGGCGAAGGCGGUUCUCUGGACAUUUCCUGACGCUGAGAAGCGAAAGCGUGGGGAGCAAACAGG
rnacentral:rRNA from 1 species